AAUUUGUAAUUUGUAAAUUAGAAGCAAUUGCUUGCCUAUACUAUUUUAAUUCUAUAAUAGCUAGUGAAAGGCUCAUCAAUCAAAUAAAGUGAGAUAGGUUUUGAAAUGGAACCUUUGAAGAAUCUGACAGGCAUACAAAUAUUGAGUUU
ensembl:ncRNA F42C5.13 ncRNA